rnacentral:rRNA from 1 species
UACAGAGGGGGCUAGCGUUGUUCGGAAUUACUGGGCGUAAAGGUCGCGUAGGUGGCCUGUUAAGUCGAACGUGAAAUCCCCGGGCUCAACCCGGGAACUGCGUCCGAGACUGGCAGGCUCGAAUCCGGGAGAGGGAUGUGGAAUUCCAGGUGUAGCGGUGAAAUGCGUAGAUAUCUGGAGGAACACCGGUGGCGAAGGCGGCAUCCUGGACCGGUAUUGACGCUGAGGCGCGAAAGCCAGGGGAGCAAACGGG